AACGAACGCUGGCGGCGUGGAUAAGACAUGCAAGUCGAACGGGAUAACAUCUGUAGCAAUACAGGUGUUAUUUAGUGGCGAACGGGUGCGUAACACGUGGGCAAUCUGCCGAGAAGUGGGGGAUAGCUCGCCGAAAGGCGAAUUAAUACCGCAUAUGAUCAGUGAAGACAUCUUCACGACAUCAAAGCCGGGGCAACCUGGCGCUUCUUGAUGAGCCCCGCGGCCUAUCAGCUAGUUGGUGAGGUAACGGCUCACCAAGGCUAUGACGGGUAGCUGGUCUGAGAGGACGACCAGUCACACUGGAACUGAGACACGGUCCAGACACCUACGGGUGGCAGCAGUCGAGAAUUUUUCUCAAUGGGGGCAACCCUGAAGGAGCGACGCCGCGUGGAGGAUGAAGGCUUUCGGGUUGUAAA
rnacentral:rRNA from 1 species